ensembl:lncRNA
GUUUCAGGAACUUGAUUCCAAUAUAUUGGGAUCAGUAAACAUCUUGCUGAAAUAAACUUUCUGCCUGAGAGCCUGUCUCCCUUACCCGUGGGGCAGGUCUGGGGAGGGAGGAGCUGGAAGAGCACAUGCCCUUUGCCCAUGGAGUCCCCGGCUGAUCGCACUAACUUCAAUUCAGAACACACUGGAAAGCCAAAAUCAAGAUCACAGAGUGCUGGGGACACCUGAAGCUGCUCCAUGUCUUAGCUGCCUCAAAGAAAGGAUGGAAUGGGAGACCAUGGACCUUUCUCAAGGAGGACCAUCUAGAGGACCGUGCUCAGAGGUUCUGAUGCUCUGGAGGACGUGGGAAGACACAGAUUACUGGGCCUCACCCCAGAGUGUCUGAUUCAGCAGGUCUGGGGUAAGGACCCAAAGUUUGCAUUUCUGUGUUGUUCCCAUUUCUGAGAAUGGAGAACCACAGCCAGAGAUGAACGGCUCUCAGCCCUGGUUGCGUGUAGGGGUCACUGUGCUGUGCUGUGCUUUGUUGCUCAGUUGUGCUGGACUCUUUGCGACCCCAUGGACUGUAACCUCCAGGUUACCUGAAUUCUCCAGUGACAGUGUGGCGUGACAUGAAAACACUCUUGCUGCGGCCUUGGGGGCUCUCUUGGGUAAGCGUCACGUACAUUUGGACCUUGAAGAUUUGAAAGUUAGAUUGGGUGAGAUGGUCAAGGCGAGUCAGUCCUUGCUGAGGCAAGCUGGG